rnacentral:rRNA from 1 species
UACGUAGGCAGCAAGCGUUGUUCGAAGUUACUGGGCGUAAAGAGUGCGUAGGCGGUGCUCUAAGUUUGGUGUGAAAUCUCCCGGCUUAACUGGGAGGGUGCGCCGAAAACUGCGGUGCUGGAGUGUGGGAAAGGCAAGCGGAAUUCCUGGUGUAGCGGUGAAAUGCGUAGAUAUCAGGAGGAACACCGGCGGUGUAGACGGCUUGCUAGACCAUAACUGACGCUGAGGCACGAAAGCGUGGGUAGCAAACAGG